rnacentral:rRNA from 1 species
AUUGAACGCUGGCGGCAGGCCUAACACAUGCAAGUCGAGCGGAUGAAGGGAGCUUGCUCCUGGAUUCAGCGGCGGACGGGUGAGUAAUGCCUAGGAAUCUGCCUGGUAGUGGGGGAUAACGUCCGGAAACGGGCGCUAAUACCGCAUACGUCCUGAGGGAGAAAGUGGGGGAUCUUCGGACCUCACGCAAUCAGAUGAGCCUAGGUCGGAUUAGCUAGUUGGUGGGGUAAAAGCCUACCAAGGCGACGAUCCGUAACUGGUCUGAGAGGAGGAUCAGUCAGAAGGGGACGGAGAGACGGGCCAGACUCCUACGGGAGGAAGAAGUGGGGAAGAUGAGAGAAGGGGAGAAAGACGGAUAAAGCAAUGCCGCGGUAGUGAUGAAGGCCUUAGGGUUGGAAAGCUCGUUGACCCGGGAUGAGAAGGAAAGGACCGGGAGAAUAAGCGCGGGCUAACCCCGUG